AUUGAACGCUGGCGGAAUGCUUUACACAUGCAAGUCGAACGGCAGCACGGACUUCGGUCUGGUGGCGAGUGGCGAACGGGUGAGUAAUACAUCGGAACGUGCCCAAUCGUGGGGGAUAACGUAGCGAAAGCUACGCUAAUACCGCAUACGAUCUAAGGAUGAAAGCGGGGGAUCGCAAGACCUCGCGCGAUUGGAGCGGCCGAUGGCAGAUUAGGUAGUUGGUAGGGUAAAGGCCUACCAAGCCGACGAUCUGUAGCUGGUCUGAGAGGAGGAUCAGCCACACUGGGACUGAGACACGGCCCAGACUCCUACGGGAGGCAGCAGUGGGGAAUUUUGUACAAUGGACGCAAGUCUGAUCCAGCCGUUCCGCGUUCAGGAUGAAGGCCCUCGGGUUGUAAACUGCUUUUGUACAGAACGAAAAGGCUCUGGUUAAUACCUAGGGCUCAUGACGGUACUGUAAGAAUAAGCACCGGCUAACUACGUGCCAGCCGCCGCCGUAA
rnacentral:rRNA from 1 species